CUCCAUUCUUCACAUGUACACUUAACAAGCACAAAUUUUACCAUUCAUUUAACAAAUUUUACCAUUCAUUUAAUGAAAAUGGGGGAGGGAGCAAGAUUUGGAUGAAUAAUCACACCUCUAAUUGACACACUUUGCACUUGUUUACCACUAAUAAAGCAACACCCUUCAACCCAAAACCAUUCCCAUCUACCCUUCUCUCUAUCUUCUCUCCAAACUACCAUUCCUGACCCAAGGUCCCUGUACAAACAAAUUGCCCCAUCACCG
rnacentral:misc_RNA from 1 species